rnacentral:rRNA from 1 species
AGAGUUUGAUCCUGGCUCAGAACGAACGCUGGCGGCAGGCUUAACACAUGCAAGUCGAGCGCCCCGCAAGGGGAGCGGCAGACGGGUGAGUAACGCGUGGGAAUCUACCCAGCUCUACGGAACAACCCAGGGAAACUUGGGCUAAUACCGUAUACGUCCAUCGGGAGAAAGAUUUAUCGGAGUUGGAUGAGCCCGCGUUGGAUUAGCUAGUUGGUGGGGUAAUGGCCUACCAAGGCGACGAUCCAUAGCUGGUCUGAGAGGAUGAUCAGCCACAUUGGGACUGAGACACGGACCCGACUCCUACGGGAGGCAGCAGUAAGGAAUAUUGGACAAUGGGCGAAAGCCUGAUCCAGCCAUGCCGCGUGCAGGAAGAAUGCCCUAUGGGUUGUAAACUGCUUUUAUAUGGGAAGAAAUGCCUCGACGUGUCGGGGUUUGACGGUACCAUAUGAAUAAGCACCGGCUAACUCCGUGCCAGCAGCCGCGGUAAUA